rnacentral:rRNA from 1 species
UGGGGAAUAUUGCACAAUGGGCGCAAGCCUGAUGCAGCCAUGCCGCGUGUGUGAAGAAGGCCUUCGGGUUGUAAAGCACUUUCAGCGAGGAGGAAGGUGGUGAACUUAAUACGUUCAUCAAUUGACGUUACUCGCAGAAGAAGCACCGGCUAACUCCGUGCCAGCAGCCGCGGUAAUACGGAGGGUGCAAGCGUUAAUCGGAAUUACUGGGCGUAAAGCGCACGCAGGCGGUUUGUUAAGUCAGAUGUGAAAUCCCCGGGCUCAACCUGGGAACCGCAUUUGAAACUGGCAAGCUAGAGUCUCGUAGAGGGGGGUAGAAUUCCAGGUGUAGCGGUGAAAUGCGUAGAGAUCUGGAGGAAUACCGGUGGCGAAGGCGGCCCCCUGGACGAAGACUGACGCUCAGGUGCGAAAGCGUGGGGAGCAAACAGGAUUAGAUACCCCUGGUAGUCCACGCUGUAAACGAUGUCGAUUUUGGAGGUUGUGCCCUUGAGGCGUGGCUUCCGGAGCUAACGCGUUAAAUCGACCGCCUGGGGAGUACGGCCGCAAGGUUAAAACUUAAAGGAAUUGACGGGGUCUAGCUG